rnacentral:piRNA from 1 species
UAAGACUAGCCUAUAAUUUAA